GGGUUGUGAGGUUAAGCGACUAAGCGUACACGGUGGAUGCCCUGGCAGUCAGAGGCGAUGAAGGACGUGCUAAUCUGCGAUAAGCGUCGGUGAGGUGAUAUGAACCGUUAUAACCGGCGAUUUCCGAAUGGGGAAACCCAGUGUGUUUCGACACACUAUCAUUAACUGAAUCCAUAGGUUAAUGAGGCGAACCGGGGGAACUGAAACAUCUAAGUACCCCGAGGAAAAGAAAUCAACCGAGAUUCCCCCAGUAGCGGCGAGCGAACGGGGAGGAGCCCAGAGCCUGAAUCAGUGUGUGUGUUAGUGGAAGCGUCUGGAAAGGCGUGCGAUACAGGGUGACAGCCCCGUACACAAAAAUGCACAUAUUGUGAGCUCGAUGAGUAGGGCGGGACACGUGGUAUCCUGUCUGAAUAUGGGGGGACCAUCCUCCAAGGCUAAAUACUCCUGACUGACCGAUAGUGAACCAGUACCGUGAGGGAAAGGCGAAAAGAACCCCGGCGAGGGGAGUGAAAAAGAACCUGAAACCGUGUACGUACAAGCAGUGGGAGCCUCUUUAUGGGGUGACUGCGUACCUUUUGUAUAAUGGGUCAGCGACUUAUAUUCUGUAGCAAGGUUAACCGAAUAGGGGAGCCGAAGGGAAACCGAGUCUUAACUGGGCGUUAAGUUGCAGGGUAUAGACCCGAAACCCGGUGAUCUAGCCAUGGGCAGGUUGAAGGUUGGGUAACACUAACUGGAGGACCGAAC
rnacentral:rRNA from 1 species